rnacentral:rRNA from 1 species
CGCCACAAAGCGGUGGAGCAUGUGGUUUAAUUCGAAGCAACGCGAAGAACCUUACCAGGUCUUGACAUCCUUUGACCACUCUAGAGAUAGAGCUUUCCCUUCGGGGACAAAGUGACAGGUGGUGCAUGGUUGUCGUCAGCUCGUGUCGUGAGAUGUUGGGUUAAGUCCCGCAACGAGCGCAACCCUUAUUGUUAGUUGCCAUCAUUCAGUUGGGCACUCUAGCAAGACUGCCGGUGACAAACCGGAGGAAGGUGGGGAUGACGUCAAAUCAUCAUGCCCCUUAUGACCUGGGCUACACACGUGCUACAAUGGGAAGUACAACGAGUUGCGAAGUCGCGAGGCUAAGCAAAUCUCUUAAAGCUUCUCUCAGUUCGGAUUGCAGGCUGCAACUCGCCUGCAUGAAGCCGGAAUCGCUAGUAAUCGCGGAUCAGCACGCCGCG